UGUUAAACCUUCUGGAAAUGGAAUGUUUCUUUAGAUUUCUCUUCUAGUAUUUUGAAUUUCUAGGAUCUUUUGUGUGCUUGCUUUUUUGAGACACUCACUAUGUAGAUCAGGCUGGCCUAGAAGAGAUAUUCCUGGCUCUGCCCCCCAAAUGCUGGGGUUAAAAGCAUGUGCCGCCAAAAAACCAAGAAACAUUCUUGUUUCUCAGAUGCAAUUUCUUUUCUUAUCUUUCAGAGUAAGAGAAAGGUUGCAGUUACAGGGUAGUCUUCUGUGGAUGUUCUGUGUGGUUCUCAGGAAUUCUUUAGUUUUUGUUGUAAAGUGAAACUCCCCAAAGCCCAGUGGCCUCAAGGGACUUAAGCCCUCUCAUGGUUUCAUGGCUGGGUUGGUUAGGACGGUUUCUCAUCCAACCGGUGAUAGACAGGUUGGCUUCUGGAACUCCCAUGGAAUGGGUUCUCUGUUAGCCAUGCCCACCUUUAUCCUCCAUUAGGUUAAUUUGAGGUUUUUUUUUUUAAGUUGUGCUUCUAAUUGAACGGAUUGUAGUGUAAUGUUUUUGUGCCUGUUUAUAUUAUGUAAUAAGAUUAGGGUACUGAAGAUUCCAUUCACUUCAUAUUUAUAAUCUAUGUGAUAAGAAUGUUCCAAAUCCUACUAAUUUUGAAAAAUAUAUAAUGAACUGUAGUCACUACAAUACAGUGAAACAUUAGCACUUUUACUCCUCCUAACAAUAUAGUUGUUUGCCCAUUAACUAGCCUCUUCCUCCCACCCCAGUGUCUCUCUCUUCCCUAGGAGAGGUAACCACUGUACUUCAUCCUUGUACAUCACACAGCUAUGUGGAUCACAUGGUAUCAGUCUUUUUGUGCCUGGUUUAUUUAUUACUUAAUAAAAUGUCCUUCAGGUAUAUCCAU
rnacentral:lncRNA from 1 species